AACGCGAAGAACCUUACCUGGGUUUGACAUGCACAGGAAACAGCCAGAGAUGGUUGCCCCGUAAGGUCUGUGUGCAGGUGGUGCAUGGCUGUCGUCAGCUCGUGUCGUGAGAUGUUGGGUUAAGUCCCGCAACGAGCGCAACCCUCGUUCCAUGUUGCCAGCGCGUAAUGGCGGGGACUCAUGGGAGACUGCCGGGGUCAACUCGGAGGAAGGUGGGGAUGAGGUCAAGUCAUCAUGCCCCUUAUGUCCAGGGCUUCACACAUGCUACAAUGGCCGGUACAGAGGGCUGCGAAUCCGUGAGGUGGAGCGAAUCUCUUAAAGCCGGUCUCAGUUCGGAUCGGGGUCUGCAACUCGACCCCGUGAAGUCGGAGUCGCUAGUAAUCGCAGAUCAGCAACGCUGCGGUGAAUACGUUCCCGGGCCUUGUACACACCGAGACGAC
rnacentral:rRNA from 1 species